rnacentral:lncRNA from 1 species
GAGCACGUCACUUCUAGGUAAAUUUACACAGAAAUUACAUUUCGCUGCCCCUCGUUUUAGACAUAAUGCUAGGCUGAAUUUUUAUUGCGCACUGAUCGAUAUCUUGGUAAAAUAAUCUUUUUUUUUUAAACUAGCCGGGGCAGUGAAAUCUUUGCUUUGUUGCUAGAGUCAACAGUGACAGAGUUUGAGCUCAAAUAAAUGCCGCGAGGCUUCCAGCUCUGUGCAGAAGGCAGCGGGAGAGGCUCCGGCACCGUUCUGCAGGCUCCAGAUCUGAACCAAUCAGCAGUCAUCUUCACCGUCGUGCCACGCCCCUUCAUUUGGCAACUGCUGCUUCAACCCUUUCCAUCAGUCACGUUCACCUGCAGCUACCCUCAGUCAAGUCUAACCUGGAUGCAUGAGCAAGAUAACAUUCACAUCUGCAACGUCAAGAGAGAGGGGCACAAGCAAGCCUGACAUUAAUGAUUAACUGUGCUAAAAGCCCCUGCUUUUGUAUUCCCAUGGUGCAGGUCCCAUUCCCGGGGCUAUCUGCCGAUCAUGUGACCUGCACCGAGAAGAUUGGGGGAGUGAGCGCAAAAGCAAACACAGGUGUUUGGGCUGCAGUCGGUCGGCGCUGUUAGGGACAACUGCAAACACAGGCUGCCAUGCCUGGAGAUGCUAACAGCCGCCCACACCAACAGGACAGCCUAACGGAGUCACCGACUCAAGUCUGAUGCUCUCAGUCUGCCUUUUCUCUGAACAAUUUAGGCUCUUCAUUGGCCUAUUAAAGUCUGUAUUUUGAGUACAGUUUAACCUGAGGAGCUAUGAAUUCUUAAUUAGGCAUAGGCAUAAAUAAAAAUAAACAAAGCUCAUAUGAGGUCUCCACAGAUAGUGUCAACGUUUUUAUGUUCAGAUAAAAUCCAGUGACAAUUACACUGUUUACAAGAGAUUGGUUCGUUCAUCUAAAAGUCAACUCAUUGUAAGCUAGUUUCGAGUUGAUUUCGGUCGCUUGACGAUUUAAAUGUGAAUAUGGAUUUAAUUUAUUUUCACAUAACUGGCUGAACUCGUUUUUAAGGCAACCGUAAUUAACUA